AAGUGAAAUAUUGAACCGCAAGCGGUUCAAUGUGAAAUAUCCGACCUGCGGUCGGAUGUGAAAUAUUUGCCUUCGGCAAAUGUGAAAUAUGCC
rnacentral:misc_RNA from 1 species